rnacentral:rRNA from 1 species
CCUACGGGCGGCAGCAGUGGGGAAUAUUGGACAAUGGGCGAAAGCCUGAUCCAGCCAUGCCGCGUGUGUGAAGAAGGCCUUCGGGUUGUAAAGCACUUUCAGUGGGGAAGAAAGCCUUGGGGCUAAUACCCUCGAGGAAGGACAUCACCCACAGAAGAAGCACCGGCUAACUCCGUGCCAGCAGCCGCGGUAAUACGGAGGGUGCGAGCGUUAAUCGGAAUUACUGGGCGUAAAGCGCGCGUAGGCGGUCUGAUAAGCCGGUUGGGAAAGCCCCGGGCUCAACCUGGGAACGGCAUCCGGAACUGUCAGGCUAGAGUGCAGGAGAGGAAGGUAGAAUUCCCGGUGUAGCAGUGAAAUGCGUAGAGAUCGGGAGGAAUACCAGUGGCGAAGGCGGCCUUCUGGACUGACACUGACGCUGAGGUGCGAAAGCGUGGGUAGCAAACAGGAUUAGAUACCCUUGUAGUC